UACGGAGGGUGCAAACGUUGCUCGGAAUCAUUGGGCGUAAAGCGCACGUAGGCGGUCCAGCAAGUCGGGUGUGAAAGCCCUCGGCUUAACCGAGGAAGUGCAUUCGAAACUACUGGACUUGAAUACUGGAGAGGAUCGCGGAAUUCCCGGUGUAGAGGUGAAAUUCGUAGAUAUCGAGAGGAACACCUGCGGCGAAGGCGGGUAGCUGGGCCGACACUGACGCUGAGGCGCGAAAGCUAGGGGAGCGAACGGG
rnacentral:rRNA from 1 species